GCCUCCCUUCUGAGGCGGCGGUGCGGCCGCAAGCCGCUAGGAUUCCGCUCUCCAACCCGCGCGUCCUUCCCGACGAGGUCCCUGUGCGGCCCGAACCCGGUGCUUCUAAUGUGAGGAAAAACACGGAAUGACAAGUGUGGGAAAGAGCAAGCACUAAAUUACUGUCAGAAAAAUAAACGGAGUAGCACAGUGGUGCUUGGUGAUUUACGGGGGCAAUUAGUCACCACCCCACGGCGCUGCUGAGGACAGCACGGCAGCAGACGCAUCAGGCCUGAGAGGAAGAAGAGGCUUUGCACUGCUCUCCAGACAACUUUUCAAACAAGAGAGGAUAUUUGAGCGCAUUAAGUUCCAUGUCUUCAUUCUGGGUGCCCACGCUUCACAUUAUUAGCCAACCUAAUACGUAAACGUAUUUUUAACACAAUAUUAACCUGUUCUGUGUGUGUUAAAGACUCCAACUGCAGCUUUUUUCUCUCCCACUGUCCAGAGUAGGUUUUUCCCACCCCUUAAAUGAAACAAACCUUUCCCCACUCCCAAAUUGUCCCCCUGAUGCCUUCAGUCUAUCUCAUUACUUCUUGCAUCUUGCUAUCCAUGUUCUGUAUUUGCUUGGAGCCACUGAGUGCUAAGGAAUUUGGUCUCUAGCUCUUCUGGGGAAGUUUGAUGAACUGGUACAAAGAGGUGAUAAAUGAGCCUGUAAAACCCAUAAUAAAUGAAAAAAAUACAUAAA